GUCUCAUCGUAGAAGUUCGGGUCAUAGGGCUGAGCGCGGCCUUUGAUGGGAGCCUGCAGCAAUGCAGACAGGAUGAGCAGAUAAAGGGUUAGAGCACAUGCAGGAGAUAAAGGGUUAGGCUUAGAGCACAUGCAGGAGAUAAAGGGUUAGGCUUAGAGCACAUGCAGGAGAUAAAGGGUUAGGCUUAGAGCACAUGCAGGAGAUAAAGGGUUAGGCUUAGAGCACAUGCAGGUGAUAAAGGGUUAGGGCACAUUUGGAUAAAGGCAGGAAAGAGAGAUCCAGCAGCACAGGUAUGAUGGACACUUAAGG